rnacentral:rRNA from 1 species
AGUGAACGCUGGCGGUAGGCCUAACACAUGCAAGUCGAACGGCAGCACAGUAGGAGCUUGCUCUUACGGGUGGCGAGUGGCGGACGGGUGAGGAAUACAUCGGAAUCUACUUUUUCGUGGGGGAUAACGUAGGGAAACUUACGCUAAUACCGCAUACGACCUACGGGUGAAAGCAGGGGAUCUUCGGACCUUGCGCGAUUGAAUGAGCCGACGUCGGAUUAGCUAGUUGGCGGGGUAAAGGCCCACCAAGGCGACGAUCCGUAGCUGGUCUGAGAGGAUGAUCAGCCACACUGGAACUGAGACACGGUCCAGACUCCUACGGGAGGCAGCAGUGGGGAAUAUUGGACAAUGGGCGCAAGCCUGAUCCAGCCAUACCGCGUGGGUGAAGAAGGCCUUCGGGUUGUAAAGCCCUUUUGUUGGGAAAGAAAAGCAGCAGGUUAAUACCCCGCUGUUCUGACGGUACCCAAAGAAUAAGCACCGGCUAACUUCGUG